GCAAGUCGAACGAAGAAACCUCUUCGGAGGUGGAAGAGUGGCGAACGGGUGAGUAACACGUGGGCAAUCUGCCCCUCACACCGGGAUAACCCUUGGAAACGAGGCUAAUACCGGAUACUCACAUUCACAGGCAUCUGUGAGUGUGGAAAGGAUUCUGGUGAGGGAUGAGCCCGCGGCCUAUCAGCUAGUUGGUGGGGUAAUGGCCUACCAAGGCGACGACGGGUAACCGGCCUGAGAGGGCGACC
rnacentral:rRNA from 1 species